rnacentral:rRNA from 1 species
CUACGGGCGGCAGCAGUGGGGAAUAUUGGACAAUGGGGGAAACCCUGAUCCAGCAAUGCCGCGUGUGUGAAGAAGGCCUGCGGGUUGUAAAGCACUUUCGGUUGGGAGGACUGCUUCUAGCACUAAUAUUGUUGGAAGUUGACGUUACCUUCAGAAGAAGCACCGGCUAACUCCGUGCCAGCAGCAGCGGUAAUACGGAGGGUGCAAGCGUUAAGCGGAAUUACUGGGCGUAAAGCGCGCGUAGGCGGCUAGAUCAGUCGGGUGUGAAAGCCCCGGGCUUAACCUGGGAACUGCAUCCGAUACUGUCUAGCUUGAGUACAGGAGAGGAGAGUGGAAUUCCACAUGUAGCGGUGAAAUGCGUAGAUAUGUGGAGGAACACCAAUGGCGAAGGCAGCUCUCUGGCCUGAUACUGACGCUGAGGUGCGAAAGCGUGGGGAGCAAACAGGAUUAGAUACCCUCGUAGUC